AACGCAUAUUGCGCUCGAGGCUUCGGCCGAGAGCAUGUCUGCCUCAGCGUCGGUCCAUCCCCUCACACCCUCCCGUUGUUUUGCAAAGGGCUGGGCUGUGGAUCUGGCCGUGUCGGCUGCUCCUUGUGGCCGAGUCGGCUGAAGCUCAGAGGCCUGAGCAAGUGCCCAUUCAACCGGGCAUCAACUAGGUGGGUGGCCUUCGGGCUGCGAAGCCGUUGAUGGCCGGGGGACUUGCUGGGGGCCCUGCAGGAACACCGCCUUCCGACAGGAGGGCUGGUGGCUAUCACCUUUCGACCUGAGAUCAGGCAAGAACACCCGCUGAACUUAA
rnacentral:misc_RNA from 1 species